AUAUUGGACAAUGGAGGCAACUCUGAUCCAGCCAUGCCGCGUGAAGGAAUAAGGCCCUAUGGGUUGUAGACUUCUUUUAGACGGGACAAAACCCCUUUACGUGUAAAGGGUUGAUGGUACUGUCAGAAUAAGCAUCGGCUAACUUCGUGCCAGCAGCCGCGGUAAUACGAAGGAUGCAAGCGUUAUCCGGAAUUAUUGGGUUUAAAGGGUGCGUAGGCGGACUAAUAAGUCAGUGGGGAAAGCCUGCAGCUUAACUGCAGAAUUGCCAUUGAUACUGUUAGUCUUGAGUACAGUUGAGGUAGGCGGAAUGUGUCAUGUAGCGGUGAAAUGCUUAGAUAUGACACAGAACACCGAGUGCGAAGGCAGCUUGCUAAGCUGUAACUGACGCUGAGGCACGAAAGCGUGGGGAGCAAACA
rnacentral:rRNA from 1 species